rnacentral:rRNA from 1 species
AACGCGAAGAACCUUACCUGGGCUUGAACUACUCGUGGUACCAGGUUGGAAACAGCCGGGGACCCGCAAGGGAGCGAGCAGAGGUGCUGCAUGGUUGUCGUCAGCUCGUGUCGUGAGAUGUUGGGUUAAGUCCCGCAACGAGCGCAACCCCUAUCUCAUGUUGCUAAUCCCGCAAGGGAUGCACUCUUGAGAAACUGCCUUCGAUAAGAAGGAGGAAGGUGGGGACGACGUCAAAUCCUCAUGGCCCUUAUGUCCAGGGCUACACACGUGCUACAAUGGUCGGUACAACGGGAAGCAAUACCGCAAGGUGGAGCCAAACCCUGAAAGCCGGCCUCAGUUCAGAUCGUGGGCUGCAACUCGCCCACGUGAAGGCGGAAUCGCUAGUAAUCGCGAAUCAGCAGGUCGCGGUGAAUACGUUCCCGGGCCUUGUACACACCGCAUAC